rnacentral:lncRNA from 1 species
GGCUAGGGGUCUAAUCGGAGCUACAGCUGCCACCCUACGCUACAGCCACAGCAACGCCAGAUCUGAGCUGUGCCUGCGACCUACACCACAGCUCACAGAAACGCCAGAUCCUUAACUCACUGAGUGAGGUUGAGGAUUGAACCCGCAACCUCACGGUUCCUAGUUGGAUUCAUUUCCACCGUGCCACGCUGGGAACUCCUACAUUGUAUAGGUUUUGUAAGUGAUUUGCGUGUGAUUUUAAGUCUGUGAAAGAUGUGUAUGGGUUACAUGCAGAUACACAUUAUUUUAUAUAAGGGACUUGAGUAUCCAUGGAUCUUGGUUUCUGCAGGGGACUCCUGAACCACUUGCCCUUGGCUGCUGAGGGAUGGCUAUUAUAUUAUAAUACAUCUUUAUCCAUUUAUCCACUGACAGACACUUAGGUUGUUUCCUUACCUUGGCUAUUGUGAAUAGUGCUGCCAUAAACAUAGGAGUGCAGAUAUCUUUUUGAUAACCUGUUUUCAUUUCCUUUGGCUAUAUACUCAGAAGUAGGAUUCCUGGAUCAUAUGGUUGUUCUGUUUAAUAUUUUGAGGACCCUCCAUACUGUUUUCCUUAGUGUCUGUAUCAAUUUGCAUUCCUACCAGUAGUGCACCAGGCUUUCCUUUCCUCCACACCCGUGCCAACACUUGUUAUCUCUUAUCUUUUUUUUUUUUUUUUUUUUUUUUUUUUCCUGGGAACCUCCAUAUGUCACAGGUGUGGCCCUAAAAAGACUAAAUAAAUAAAUUAAUUAAAUAAAUAAAUAAAUAAAAGGAAUCUCAUUUAACUGAGGUGUUGGCUGAAAGCAAAGGAAACACAGAAUUAAUAGUUGAAGAAGAAAGUUAUAAAUAUCAACUAUCAUUUUGGGAGCUAUUGCUUUAAUGACAAGGCAUAUUUUCUCAUUGCUUUGUAAUGUAUAGAUUUCAUAUCUUCAUCAGUUGUAUCUUUUCUUCCUCUCCUUUUUCUUCGUAUUUCCUAUAGGGCGUGUUGUGGUUGAGUCACCUUUUAAUUUCGUCUUCCACCUACAGGAUGGCAGAGGCAACUUGUAUUGAACUAAAAGAGGAGUGGACAGCAGAGAGGGGUAGGGGCUGAUGGGACUUUGUCUUACCCCUCUUGGGGAGAAAGUGAAUAGCCUUGAUUUCAUGAGGGACCACUGCACUGCAUUGGGCAGAAGCACUAAGUUGUUUGGAGGCUUAAACCGAGCUGGCAGGGGUAGCUGCAUAGCCAGAGGAAUGGCUGGGCCGGGCAUUACCAUUGCUACUUGGUACUAGGCCGGCCUGUCUUCUAAAUUCUCACUCUGUGUUGUAGGUGCUGGGAGCCUGGAAACCACACUUUCUUGACCCUCUUGCUAAUAUCUUGCACAUGUAACACUUGACAAACAAAAGAGCAGCAGAAGCCAUGAUUGUUCCUUCAGCAACAGAGGCAGGGCAGGGCUGGUUCAGAUGGCAUACGUGAGGUUUCGCAGGAGCUUCUGACCUCUUCUAAUCACCUGCUUCAGUGCUGCAGGCAGCUGAGAUCAUCAACCUUGGUUUCCUGCAAUUCCUGUGACUUUUUGAUUUCCUGAAUCCCCUGGCAGCUUUCCCUGACCUUCCUUUCACCCAGCCCUUCCAAGGUUUUGGAAGCACCUGUAUGAAAUCCUUUCCUGUGCUUUACCUCGAAUGCUUUCUGUUUUCCUGACUGAAUGCUGGCCACCAGAGAACAAACGGUUCUUAAGCCUGAGAAAAGGUGCCUGAUCUCCCUUGUAAGAGAAAUGCCACUUAAAACCGGCAUUAAAUGCAAGUUAGCCCUUCUCACUUACCAGAUGGGUUAAGAGUUAACUGGUAACAUUUUGUGGAUGUGGGGGGAACAGGCACUGGGCUGCUGUGAAAAGAGGAAGUUGAUAUUGAUCUAUGAAAUUGACAUUGAUCUCUACUAGGAAUGCCUUGUUGUUGUUAUCUAUCAAGCUUAUGCAUACGUUUUUGACACAUGCUCAAAAAAUACACAUAACAGCAUUGUUUUGAAUAUUAAAAAGUUUGAAACUGAGUGUCCUUCAGGGUUAAAUAAAUUAUGGUGCAGCCAUACAAUUAGAUGCUACAAAGCCAUUAAAAAGAAUGAGACAGCUCUCUAGGUCCUGUUGUACUAAGAUAGCCAUGCUAUUUUAACUGAAAAUAGCAAAAUGUACAUAUGCUACUACUAUGGAAAAGGUUAAAAUAAUAUGACCACAUGUUAAUACACAGAAUAUGUCAAGAAAAAAUACACACUACAUGAC